rnacentral:rRNA from 1 species
AUUGAACGCUGGCGGCAUGCCUUACACAUGCAAGUCGAACGGUAACGCGGGGGCAACCCUGGCGACGAGUGGCGAACGGGUGAGUAAUACAUCGGAACGUACCCAGUAGUGGGGGAUAGCUCGGCGAAAGCCGGAUUAAUACCGCAUACGACCCAUGGGUGAAAGCGGGGGAUCGCAAGACCUCGCGCUAUUGGAGCGGCCGAUGUCGGAUUAGCUAGUUGGUGAGGUAAAGGCNCACCAAGGCUACGAUCCGUAGCUGGUCUGAGAGGACGACCAGCCACACUGGGACUGAGACACGGCCCAGACUCCUACGGGAGGCAGCAGUGGGGAAUUUUGGACAAUGGGCGCAAGCCUGAUCCAGCCAUGCCGCGUGUGUGAAGAAGGCCU